rnacentral:rRNA from 1 species
UUGGAGGGCAAGUCUGGUGCCAGCAGCCGCGGUAAUUCCAGCUCCAAUAGCGUAUAUUAAAGUUGUUGCAGUUAAAAAGCUCGUAGUUGAACUUCGGGGUCUACCCAUUGGUCAGGCUUAAUUGUCUGCACUGGUGAGAUGGAUCUCUACCUUCUGAGGAACUUUCAUGCCAUUUAUUUAGUGUGAUGGGAAAUCAGGACUGUUACUUUGAAAAAAUUAGAGUGUUUAAAGCAGACUAUCGUCUGAAUACAUUAGCAUGGAAUAAUGAAAUAGGACGGACUGAUUCUAUUUCGUUGGUUUCUAGGAUCACCGUAAUGAUUAAUAGGGAUAGUUGGGGGCGUUAGUAUUCAAUUGUCAGAGGUGAAAUUCUUGGAUUUAUUGAAGACUAACUACUGCGAAAGCAUUUGCCAAGGAUGUUUUCAUUAAUCAAGAACGAAAGUUAGGGGAUCGAAGACGAUCAGAUACCGUCGUAGUCUUAACCAUAAACUAUGCCGACUAGGGAUCGGACGAAGUUAAUUUUAUAAUGACGCGUUCGGCGCCUUACGGGAAAC